CCUACGGGCGGCAGCAGUAGGGAAUCUUUCACAAUGGGCGAAAGCCUGAUGGAGCAACGCCGCGUGCAGGAUGAAGGCCUUCGGGUUGUAAACUGCUUUUAUAAGCGAGAAAUAUGAUGGUAACUUAUGAAUAAGGAUCGGCUAACUACGUGCCAGCAGCCGCGGUCAUACGUAGGAUCCGAGCAUUAUCCGGAGUGACUGGGUGUAAAGAGUUGCGUAGGUGGCAUAAUAAGUAGCUAGUGAAAUCUGGUGGCUCAACCAUUCAGACUAUUAGCGAAACUGUUAAGCUCGAGACCGUUAGGGGUAACUGGAAUUUCUAGUGUAGGAGUGAAAUCCGUAGAUAUUAGAAGGAACACCAAUAGCGUAGGCAGGUUGCUGGGACGGUUCUGACACUAAGGCACGAAAGCGUAGGGAGCAAACGGGAUUAGAUACCCGAGUAGUC
rnacentral:rRNA from 1 species